rnacentral:ncRNA from 1 species
UUCUUAUCCAGAGAGGUGGAGGGACUGGCCCUUUGAAGCCUCGGCAACAGACUGCUGCAGUACUGUGCCAAUUCCAGCAAGCUACUAGCUUGAAAGAUGAGAA